ensembl:lncRNA
AUGCAAGAAUCCACUGAAGGGAGUGCAGACCUCUCCCUUGGUGAAGACAGAGACGUUGACCGGUGUCCAGGGGGAAAAUACCUCUCCCACCAGCUUUGUUUGGAAUGUCCAUCUGGUCAUUUUUGCCCUGGCAAUGUAUCUGCAGCUCAUAGAUGUCCAGCAGGAACGUUCAACCUCUACACGGGAAAAAGCAGCCUCAGUGACUGCAAGCCUUGUUUUCCAGGUCUCAUCAGUUCAGAGGACAGAGUGGACUGUCGACUUUGUCCAGCAGGUUUCUCAUGUGAUCCGGCCCAUUGGACGCUGUCUUUAUGCCCCCCAGGACAACAUUCUCCUGAGGGGGUCCUAAAGUGUCUGGCAUGCCCCGUAGACUCUGUCUGCACCUCUGGAUUUCCUAGGAAGUGUGGACCUGGCAAAGAGCCCAACCUGGAUUACACUCUGUGCACCGACUGUCCCCCAGGCUUCUAUUCCACUGUGUGCACUAUCAAGUGCCUACAGUGUCCAGCAGGAAGUUACUGCCCAGACAAAGGAACGUCUCGGCCUCUCUCCUGCCCUCCCAGUCGGUCUUCCACGCCCGGACAGACUUACUGUAACUGUAAUGAUACAUCGUUGCUGUGUGUAGGAGCAGAGGCCCCCCGCCCGAACCAGCCGGCCCAUAGGUCGGGUCAAACAACCAGCUGCCGACCAGGAACAUACAAAGAAGAGGGGGGGGAGUCGUUGUGUGUGGUCUGUCCAAUAGGUUCGUAUAGCUGA